rnacentral:rRNA from 1 species
UUGCCUUAGUAGCGGCGAGUGAAGCGGCAAAAGCUCAAAUUUGAAAUCUGGCUCUUUCAGAGUCCGAGUUGUAAUUUGAAGAAGGUAUCUUUGGGUCUGGCUCUUGUCUAUGWUUCUUGGAACAGAACGUCACAGAGGGUGAGAAUCCCGUGCGAUGAGAUGAUCCAGGCCUAUGUAAAGUUCCUUCGAAGAGUCGAGUUGUUUGGGAAUGCAGCUCUAAGUGGGUGGUAAAUUCCAUCUAAAGCUAAAUAUUGGCGAGAGACCGAUAGCGAACAAGUACAGUGAUGGAAAGAUGAAAAGAACUUUGAAAAGAGAGUGAAAAAGUACGUGAAAUUGUUGAAAGGGAAGGGCUUGAGAUCAGACUUGGUAUUUUGUAUGUUACUUCUUCGGGGGUGGCCUCUACAGUUUAUCGGGCCAGCAUCAGUUUGGGCGGUAGGAGAAUUGCGUUGGAAUGUGGCACGGCUUCGGUUGUGUGUUAUAGCCUUCGUCGAUACUGCCAGCCUAGACUGAGGACUGCGGUUUAUACCUAGGAUGUUGGCAUAAUGAUCUUAAGUCGCCCGCA